AGAGUGGUAGCGACAGGGGCUGGCUCAUAACCCGAAGGUCGUGGGUUCAAAUCCUGCCCCCGCUACCA
rnacentral:tRNA from 1 species